GAAAGAUUCAUCGGAAGAGGAUGGGCAUGCGGCGCAUUAGCUUGACGGCGGGGUAACGGCCCACCGUGGCGACGAUGCGUAGGGGUUCUGAGAGGAAGGUCCCCCACACUGGUACUGAGACACGGACCAGACUCCUACGGGAGGCAGCAGUGAGGAAUAUUGGUCAAUGGGAGAGAUCCUGAACCAGCCAAGCCGCGUGAGGGAAGACGGCCCUAUGGGUUGUAAACCUCUUUUGUCGGAGAACAAAACCCGGGACGUGUCCCGGACUGCGUGUAUCCGAAGAAAAAGCAUCGGCUAACUCCGUGCCAGCAGCCGCGGUAAUACGGAGGAUGCGAGCGUUAUCCGGAUUUAUUGGGUCUAAAGGGUGCGUAGGCGGUCCGUUAAGUCAGCGGUAAAAUUGCGGGGCUCAACCCCGUCGAGCCGUUGAAACUGGCAGACUUGAGUUGGCGAGAAGUACGCGGAAUGCGCGGUGUAGCGGUGAAAUGCAUAGAUAUCGCGCAGAACUCCGAUUGCGAAGGCAGCGUACCGGCGCCAGACUGACGCUGAGGCACGAAAGCGCGGGGAUCGAACAGGAUUAGAUACCCUGGUAGUCCACGCAGUAAACGAUGAAUGCUGGUUGUCCGGGUCGAAUGAGACCUGGGCGG
rnacentral:rRNA from 1 species